rnacentral:rRNA from 1 species
UACGUAGGGUGCAAGCGUUAAUCGGAAUUACUGGGCGUAAAGCGUGCGCAGGCGGUCCGUUAAGACAGAUGUGAAAUCCCCGGGCUUAACCUGGGAACUGCAUUUGUGACUGGCGGACUCGAGUAUGGCAGAGGGGGGGUAGAAUUCCACGUGUAGCAGUGAAAUGCGUAGAGAUGUGGAGGAAUACCGAUGGCGAAGGCAGCCCCCCUGGGCCCAAUACUGACGCUC